rnacentral:rRNA from 1 species
GACGGGGGGGGCAAGUGUUCUUCGGAAUCACUGGGCGUAAAGGGCGCGUAGGCGGCUUUAUAAGUCGGGGGUGAAAGCCUGUGGCUCAACCACAGAAUUGCCUUCGAUACUGUAGAGCUUGAGACCGGAAGAGGUAAGUGGAACUGCGAGUGUAGAGGUGAAAUUCGUAGAUAUUCGCAAGAACACCAGUGGCGAAGGCGGCUUACUGGUCCGGUUCUGACGCUGAGGCGCGAAAGCGUGGGGAGCAAACAGG